UUCUUCUAUUAUGGAGAGAAGAUUAAUGCCAUUCUUGUUUUUCAUAUUACUAAGGGUUUUAGUGUAAGAAACAAAAUCAUUAUGAAAUGCACGGGUUUCACUUUUAUGAAUUUUGAUUUGAGUAUGAAAAAUUUCCUCAGCACAUUAACUUUUUGCCUCCACAGAUUAAGCUCGCCAUAUAAUGAGACGGUCACCUCAUUUUAGUGGAGCACUGUCCAUAAGCCCAGAAUUGCGCGAUGAAGGCCUGGAUAAAAAUGACUUUGUUGGUAAGUGUAACAAUGCUUGCAGAACCAGAGCACCAGAGGGAGCCAUCACCCGAAUAUUGACAUUUGCAAACUCGUUUCCUGUCUUACUCGGGUAUUUAAGCAGCACGCUGCCUAUUGUUCACUGCGAAGUAUUGUUCUCUCUAGUGGAUUAUGUACCAAGCCUUGUUUAUUGUUCCUGAUUGCCUGCUACAUGUAUGAUCUUUGCCUGUUACUGUUUUCUACGAGUCUCGGUUUUGCGGUUUUGGUUUCUGUUCGCUAGUUCUUGAUUGUCCGGUUUUUGUCCGAUUGUUCCGAUUCUUGCCUGCCGUUUUGUGAAUAAAGAUUUGCAUAUGGAUUCUACUACGCCUGCCUCGAGUGCGUCCUUACAGACCUGGUGCUACAGAAGCAUACAACAUGGAGUUCAACACAAGAACAACACAGAGCUAGGACCGAAAGUUCGUCCAAGCCACAUAAAGUGUUAUGUUUUGUUGUCACCAUGUUGUUCUUAAUUCUGUUUUUGUUAUUUAUCUGUGUAGUUGUUUGGUUGGUUGUAGUUUUUAAAAAACCCAUUCAUUUUUUUUCUAGUUGCCUGUAAGACAUACUACGAGACCAUGCAUAGAAAUUUCCAGUACAGCCAGAGCUAGCGAAUGUGGCUGCAGCUAAUAAGACCUCAGCCCGGAGUCGCCGGAGGAGGAAGAGGCUCUUGGAGGCGAGGCAAAGUGUACUGGCUGCGGACGAAGUGGACUUCUGGAGGGGAAUCACCGCUGACAUGAUGUCAGAUGAAGAAGACGGUGCUGUUGAUGGAGUCUCGGGGUGGAUUGUGAGGCCUCCAUCGUUCCACAGCCAGGAGCUCAGAAGUCUGUGUGCUAGGCUGCAGAUGAGAGUAGAAGGCAGUUCAAAGUAUGCAGCACUGCAUCACCGGCGUCUGUGAACUGGGCUUCCGUCUAACAGAACGCCACCGCAUACCUACGACCCUGUGACGGCAAAAAGACAUUUGAUGCCAAACGUGAUGCCAUGACA